GAAGGUGUCAGGUGCUGUCUGCCUG
rnacentral:piRNA from 1 species